CUUUUUUAUGGCUAAGUAUAUAUAUAUAUAUAUGGAAUAUGUGUGUAUGUAUAUAUAUAUAGAAUAUAUAUGUAUGCAUGUAUCCACUCAUCUGUCGAUGGACAUUUAGGUUACUUCCAUGUCUUGGCUAUUGUAAUAGUGCUACGAACAUUGGGGUGCAUCUAUUUUUUUGAAUUAGGUCUUUUCAGGAUAUAUGCCCAGGGAUGAUAUUGCUGGAUCAUAUGGUAACUCCUAUUUUCAGUUUUCUAUGGAAUCUCCAUACUGUUCUCCAUAUUGGCUUCACCAAACUGCAUUCCCACCAACAGUGUUAAGAGAUUUUCUCAACAUCCUCUUCAGUAUUUAUUGUUUGUGGACUUUCUAAUGAUGGCCAUUCUGACCAGUGUGAAGUGAUACCUCACUGUGGUUUUGAUUUGCAUUUCUUUGAUAAUUAGCGAUGUUAAGCGUCUUCUCAUGUACCUGUUGGCUAUCUGCAUGUAUUCUUUGGAGAAGAGAACAACUCUUAAAGGAAGGCAUUCAUUUUUAGAUUGAGCUAUAUUGGUCAGCUCAAAUCAGAAGAUUUGAUUUGGUUUCAAGCUCUUAUCCAUCAAGAGAUGGGCAAGAUUUCUGCUAGAGCCGUAUAUUUCCUGAGAGCAAGCCAGUGUCCAUAGACCUGGGCAGACACGAUCAGUCACUGGAGAUGAGAAAGAGCUAAACAGCCAUGUCCCCUCCUGAAAGGCCAGGGUCCCCCUCCUUGGCAGCUGUUUGUGGGAUGCUAUCUAAAGUUGCACAAUGUUCUGAACUUGAGUGAAAACAACCAUAGAUUCAGGGGAUUGUCCAAAGAACCAUUCUUAGUGAUGACUGCCGGGCCUUCCUUCAGGUCUCAGUAAGACGGUUGAUUCUAGGACAGAAGGUGGAUGUCAUGAACCGAAAAGGAUGGGGAAAGUACUUCACAAAAAUGGAGUAGGGCCAUGUAGUUGAGCUUUCAUCAUGAGACAAAAGAGAAUGAAAUUCCUCACCCUACCACCUUCCUCUGAUCUCAGCCUCAUCAGUAUGUGUUGUCUUCCUAGAUAAUCUAAUGCUCUCCCUUUGUGCUGCCUAAGCUCUGGGGCAGGCAUCCUCCCCGGGUCUGAAGUGUGGCCACCUAACCCAGCAUGGCUUUCCUGAGUCUGAGGCUACCACAGACACGUCAUGGAGCAGCACCAUGACUGACGAUGGCCAGUGUAUUCAAGUUAAGCUAAAUCCAUGUGAGCUAGCUGAGCAAAGAAAUCCUCUCUGGGCAAUUAAUAGCCAGCUCCCAAGCAUUCAGGAGAGCUUUACUGAUAGGUUUUAGAACCGUGAUUUUGUCAUUGUUUGAGCUGGUCUCAGGACCACCUGCAUUAGAAUUACCUGAGAUUCUUAUUAAACACGCAGCUUCCCAUCUCCACCGAGACCUAGUAAAUUUGACUCUGUAAUGGAUCCAGAGAAUCUGUAUUUUAACAAUUCACUAAAUUAUUCUCCUCUAUCCUACGUUCAAGAAUUAACUGGGGCUAAAAAAACAAAACCAGAAUUAACUGGGGCUGAGGUACAGCUCAGUGGUAGAGUGCCUGCCUAGCAUGCACGAGGUCCUGGGUUCAAUCCCCAGUACCGCCAUUAAAAAAUUAAUAAGCCUAAUUACCUCCACUCCAACAAAUUUUUUUAAAUACAUAAAAAAUAAAAAUAAAAGAAGAAUCAACCUCAACUCCACUUUUGUAUCACCAUUGUGCCUAGCAUAAUGCUUAACACAUAGAAGAUGCUAGACAAAGAUUUUUUAAAAGGCUGAAUAAACGUUCAUAGCAGCCCCUCUCCUGGCCUGCUGUGGCCCCACCUGCAUGUUAUGCAUCACGGUUACAGCGCUCUCAAUUCCUGCUACCCCUUCAUGGCUAAGGAAUUGAAUUUUUUUUUUUAGGGUAUUUCUCCCUCCCUUCCUCAGCUGUGGCUUCUCCAGGCUCCCUAGCCUCCCAAGUUUAAUCCUUAAAGCAUCUCAGCAGCCACAGACCUAUUAGGAUGGGUCAGUGGACAACAAAGAAAUGUAUGAGGCCAGUCAAGUUCAGGAUCCCUCAUUCCAGAAUCGUGUCUAAUAAUCCAGGAUGGGUUGAGUUGGGUGUCUACCCAGGCAAGGUCUCACUCAAGGCUCUAUGGAUUAACCAGGAUGAUCAAGGUUGGGGAGGGGUGCCAGUGAAAUGAAGCCACUGCGAGGGUCCUGGUAGGAGGGGUCAUCCAUGGGGUGUGGCUUUCCACCCGUCUGCCUGGGGGAGUUUAUACCCAUGCUUUUGAGUUUGUUGUCAUAAAAUCACACUCAGUGGUAAGGCUCUCCUUUCUAGCACCUUGGGUUUGCAUUUAAGUCUCCUGAAAUGCUUUGAAAAUACAAACUUUCAAAUAGGUUGUCAAUCGUAUUUCAUCCCACGAUUGCAGUGAGACUCAAGGCAGGUUUGUCUUGAAAACAACCCAUGCCUCGUCCCUUUUGGCAGGGCAGAGCUCAGAGAAGAGCGAUGUAAUUGCCCAGACUGAGUCUGAGGUUAGAGUGUUUAUGUAACAAAUCCGCUAAACUUAAAUAUUUCUUGUGGUGUGGUCAGGGCCGCAAACCUUUGCCCAGGCUCACUACCAUGAAUGUCAUCUGUUUACUCAACCCUGUGUGGGCAUCUCUGUUUACGUGAAAGGACCCUGCUAGCUUAAAGCCAGUUAAUAUGUUCAAUCAUACAUCAUGUUGCUUACGUAUUUUAUAAUAAGGAUUGCAGAGACAAUUUUUCAAAGCAGUCAGACCGCUUACAUUUGUGCGUGCCCUGAUGAGCAGACAUAUUGAAUGAAUGUUCACUUGGCAAAAUCUUAACAACUAAGGAAUUUUUCUUCCCCAGAUAAUUACAAGAGGCCUAAUAAUGUUCCUCCAAGCCAGCCUUCUGAUUCCCUUCCCCCUUGAUAGAGACAACAUGUACCAGACAAACAGCUGAGACAGACAGCCCGAAGGGACUGGAGAGGCUCUCCCGGGGCCAGAUCAAGCCAACUAUAUGAGAAGUGAUGCUUUCCAACUUCAUCAUGGAGCUGGGAGCCAAAGGAUGUUUCAAGGGCCAGGGGAGAAGGUGCUGAAUAACGCCCCCACUCUUUCCAAGGCAUUUUAUACUGCGGCUUCAUUACUGAGUUUGAAACGUGAAUUCCCAGAAUAUCAGGCAUCCCUAGACUCAAAUGUGAGUGCAGAAAGGCACUCCAAAGCCAAAUGUAAAUUAUUUUUAAAUUAUUCAUGCCACCUAUUCGCCAUUAGAACAGAUAAUUGAGCUAACUGUAAAUAUGUAUAAACAGAAGUGACAGAAACAAACAUCCACAACAAACUACAGAUGAACAGAAAAAUCCACUUAAGUGCUGAAUAAUUAGGGUGGAGGGAAGCCAAGGAAGGUGGGAGGCCAUAGUUCUGGAGUGAUGAGUGAGUUGGGACUAAACUGGAAAUAGCCAGCAAGAUGGGAGCUGGUUCCAAGAAGAGGAGGGCUGGGACUUGGCAGAGAGGAAGGGGGAGUGGUAGGGGCUAAGAAGCUAAACUCGUGCAGGGAAGUACAGAUGAGCAGUGGGUUCUGGUUUCUGACAAGUCUGAGCUAAGCGAGGCAAAAAUGACAGAUGGAGCCCCAGCCAACAGGAAAAAAAAAAGAGAAAGAAAGUCCGCUCGAUAGGAGAUGUUUGAGGUCCUCCUGGAACCUUGGGACACAGCGCAAGGAAAUACAUUCCAUCUGCAGCAUUCCACCCCAGGACUGGCCCCCUAAUCUGCAGAGUGAGCUAGGGGUAAAAAUUUUCUUAGAAACAACACUCUCCUGUAAUGGCUAGCAAUUUGGGAGCAAGAAUGUGUUAAACGGCAAAAGGCUUGGGGCUCCCCUAUUUAAAAAAAAAUAGAGUUCAAAGUAGCUAGUUAGAACAUGCAGGUUUUAAGAGUAGAAAAAUGUGAUGCUGUCCCCGCAGAAGGCUCUGGGUCACCACCAGAGUGUGGUCCGAAGCAAACACGUGGAGGUAAAUGACAGAGAAACUGUGUUCAAACACGAAUGAAGUCAGCAGGCAACCUGAGAAUUAAAGCCCAAAAUUAGCUGGCAGUAUUGAUCAUUCCUAAAGGAGAAAUCCAGCACGAGAAGUUCAGUUCUUAGCAGAUACUGAAGCAGGAACAGAGCUUUAAGCAAAUGUCCCUCCUCCAUACAGACACCUGACAGUUGCUGGCAGUUCCCAGACGGAGCCAGGUCAACUGCCAGGUGAGGACUGAGAGUGAUGGAGACCAGCCUGGUGGGGAGGAUAAGGAAGAGUCUAGAGGAAGCCUCACAGCAACCCAGGUAACAACAGGCACAGGAAAUAAGCAAGUGAAGGCCAGGGUCAAUCUACAUAAGUUGCAGAGAGGCUGUCUCCUACUUGUGUGAGAAGACAGUAACUUUACCACAGAGCUGGUGCCCUGUCUUUCACGGUCAGCAACCUCUCCAGACCAGGGCUUCCAUCUCAGUGUGACCCAAGGGGGCAAGUGUCCUAGGAGGCAAAGAUUUCUCCCCACCGUGUGACCAAGUCCCACCCCCAUGCCAAGGAUGGAUGUGUAGGGGGGGGUCAACAUUUGUGCAAAACUACAAAUUCCACACAAACACCGAGUAGACAUCCCAGGUGCUGACCCUGGUCCGAGACCUGAGUUAUGGUAUCAAAACAGAGAGAUUAAUGGUAAAGUCGGUAUCAUUUCCACCCAGAUGUUUUUAGGAUAAUCGUGUUUAAAAUUCUGUUGUCUUAUGGAAUUGUCUCUGAAUCAGUGUCCCUGGAGAUGAACAGCAUCUUUUAUCCAGUAUUCGAUUAAACUUAAGAAACAUUUUUCAGGGUUAUGUACUUAUCGUACACUCGGCUCUGACCCCUGGCUGUAGGCAGACGCAGCCAGGAUGAGUAAGGACUUCCCCCGGCACAAGUAGGCAAGCAUGCUACGGAAAUGUAAUGUGCGACAGAUGGAUGAUUCCUUAUCAUUAUUACUGAUAGCAUUAUUUCUAUUCCUGCUGUCAAAAAUCCAGAAACCACUAAAUGAAAAAACAUCAGAUCAACAAAAUAGUAAUAGCAAGAGUUUAUUGUGCACAUAAGAACAGUUCUCAAACUGGGUGCUUUAAAACCAACAUUGGAAUGAAGCUCAGAGGUCUAUGUUACAGGACAACUUACAUAGUGAAAAUUCAGAGACUGUGUAUUCUUUACAAUGAUUGGUUACAAUAAUGAAGUUUUUCCUAAUGAUAGGGCAUUGGUUAAAAGUGGUUUUCUUACGCCAAUUUUGGAAAACAGUGUAACUUUCACUUAUGAUUUUCAAAGGCAUUUACAAGAAGUGACUCAAGCUAAUGUCACUAAAUAAUCUAAAUUAGGCUUCACUUACAUGGCUUAACAAUUUUGUCUGCUCAGGAAAUAGUCAAAUCUUGUCUUCAUUCCAUAUUUUACUUUAACAUUGCUUAGUGGCCAACAGUAGUAACUGUUCAAUAAUUUUUUCAUCGAAUGAAUGAAUCAACCAAUUCAUUAUUAACAGGGACAGUACAGCUGCCAAAGAUGGCAGGAGGAAAGGGGACAAAGAGAGAAUCCCUGAGCCAGGUGCUGUCGGGGAAGGUGCGCCUGAGGCUUGCCCUGAAGGUUAACAGGAAGUGUCAGUGAAGGAUGGGUACACUCACACCUCACAUUAGCUGAAGCACAUCCAUAGUCAACAGUAAUGCAGGAUAAAUAAUGUACAAGGUUAAAGGAAUAAGACAUUUAGGAGGGUGAGUGUACAGCGGUAGAGCACAUGCUUAGCAUGCACAAGGUCCUGGGUUCAAUCCCCAGUACCGCCACUUAAAAAAAAAAAAAAAAAGUCAUUUCCUUAAAGACUUCCUCCAUCUGCUUAAAAACAGUUGACCCUUGAACAACACGGGUCUGAAUUGUGCGAGUCCACUUAUAUGUGGAUCUUUUUCCAUAGCAAAUACUAUAGUACUACUUGAUUGGGGGUUGGUUGAAUCCAUGGAUGAAGAAUCAGACAUGGAAGAACCACAUAUGUGAAGCGCUGGCUGUAAGUUACGCAGGAAUUAUGACAGCACAGAAGGUUAGCGCCCUUAACCCCCGCCACAGUGCUCAAGGGUCAACUGUACUGUAUCUAGGUUGAGACUUGCAAGCCUGAGGGGUAGAAUCCAGUAACAUGCUGGAGUCUGAACCAUGGGAAAGAGGAGUUGGAGGGAGCUCUGUGAAACCCACCAGAGGUUGCCAGGAGCUGGGAGUACACGUGCCACCAGGACCUCCGAGGGCAGAAAAACACCACACGUGGAGCAGACCCCCAAGGAAGGAGUCCUACCUGCCCCUUGAGACCUCACCUCUUAGACACAAAGCCCACAGACAAGGACCAACUUGAGGGCCAGGCCUGGGUUCCCAGGGAAAUCCCCUUCCCCUGAGGCAGCCACUCCAGAACAAUCUCGUCCUCCUCUGCCACCCAAGGCGCCCUUAGAAAAAGACUGGAGAGAAAACACACUCACUGGGAUGCUUUAUGAGUGAAUUUAAUCCAAUAUCACAUAUUUACCCAUUUGUUGAGGGUAUUUCUAUUUGAACAUGACCUGGUGGGGGCUGUUCCCCCAGACAGUGAAGCAUCAGAAUGGCCAUGAUUUCAGCUGUGUCCCUGCCGCACUCAGCCUGGCUCCCCAGAGACCCAUUCCCCCCACCCACACGCUGAGUCAUUGCAAGCAGUAAAAAUGCUUUGAACUGAGCAAAAGAACAAAGCUCUACCGUGAUAUUUCAAAGGAAACAGAGGAAUUUGAGGAGCCAUCAGCCAUCCUGGUUUCACCCAGAUUACUCUUAGUGACCUUCAGCAGUGGGACCCAGGGUUUUCAUAACAACUCUGCUUUCUCAAACUCCAGAUCACCUGCAGCUCCAAACUGCCUCUUCUCUGAUUCAUGUGCAGACUUUGAGUGGCCAAGGAGUAACUUCAGGCAGAAAUCAGUGUUCCUGCUCCCCACCGGUCUCCACCUAAGCCAGUGUCUCAGAAGCGCCUCCUCCUUCCUUCGGGUUCUACCUGCCUGGAACAGUACCCUCUUUCGGCCAGACCCCUGGCCUCCCAGGUUUAAAGUCUCCUCCCCAGGCUCAGUGUUGCCCUACAAAACUGCUGAUGGAAGACGGGGCCAGUUUUUCCAGCCUGUCUUUCAAACAUCAUCUUAAGAACAGAGACUCUAUCUUUGGAAUAUAACCACAGAGUCACUCUAAUAAGGCUGAAUUUUAAAUACAGUUUUUGUAACAAUCCAAUUAUUUCUUAACUCUGUGUUAUCAAAUUAAAAAUACAUUGUCAAGAAUAUUCUUGCCAUUCUAAACCACAAAUGGGAUGGUUUUGUUUGGUUUCUUAUCAAAGCAAUGAAAUUUAAUCCAUGCAAUUGCAGAGAAUCUCUCUUUUUAAACUUGUUUAUUUCCACAGCAAAAAAGAAUUCCUCAUAAAGUUAAAUAUAGAAUUAUCAUAUGACUCAGCCAUUCCAUUCCUAGGUAUAUGCCCAAAGAAUUGAAAACAAGGACUCAAAUAUAUACACCAAGUUCAUAGCAGCAUUGUCCACAAUAGCCAAAGGGUGGAAGCAAUCCAAGUAUCCGUCAACAAAUGAAUGGGUAAACCAAAUGUGGCACAUACAUACAAAUGCAUGACAUUCUGACACACGCUACAACAUAGAUGGACCUUGAAAACAACAUGCCGAGGGAAAUAAGCCAGACAUAAUAGGACACAUAGUGUAUGAUUCCUUUUGUAUGAAAUUGCUAGAAGAGGCAAAUCCACAGAGACAAAAAGUGGGUUGAAGGUUAACAGGGACUGGAGGCUGUUACUUAAUUGGUACAGAGUUUCUAUUUGGGUGAUGAAAAUGUUUGGAAUGAGAUAGUGGGGACAGUUACGGAAUACUAUGCAUGUAAUUAUUAUCAUUGAAUUGUACACUUUAAAAUGGUUCAAGUAAUCAGUGGUAUGUAUAUUUUAGCACAAAAAAUUUUUUAAAUCAGGCUUUUUAUUAGUAUGAAGUUUUUGGCUACUGGAUCAAUUAUAAAUAUUAUUGGCUUGUAUUUAAAAUCUCUGUAGUGACAUUUAUUCCCAGCAUAAAACUCCAGUUUUCGAUGUCUUUAAAACUUAGCCAGCAUGUGACCAGCAUGCACUGUCUGGGAGCAGAGGCUGAGCCACAGCAGCCCAGCCUUGUCGCCAGCUCUCCGCUUCCUGCCUGUGUGACCCAGCCAGUCACCUGUCCUCCCAAAGCCUGAGUUUCCACUUCAUAUGAUAACGACAUUAAUUAUUUCAUGGGGUUGUUGUAAGGAUAAAAUGUGUUGUAAGUGUUAUGAGCUUAGUACCGUGCUGGCACAAAGUAAGUGCUCAUAGUUAAGCUAUUAUUCUUAUUUUUAUUCAAUUGACAGAACUUAGGGGUUUUUUUUAAAUUGAUUGAGAUUAAAAGAGGGAAAAUGAUUAAGAAGCACUGAUCAUUCCGAGGAGAGGAACCAUACAGCAUGGCUCAAAGGCGUGUGACGAAACUCAGUCCUGGAAGUUAAGAAAGGGCAUGAAGCUUUCCUGAACAUUCCACCAUCUGAGCCUGCUGGUGGCAACUUGGGGAGUCAUUCUCAGGAGUCUUCAGCCUGAUUCCGGGGAAGCCUCUGGUCCCAGCAGCUGUGAAGCACAGCUGUGGGCAAAUGGAUACAGUGUCUUUUGCUUUUAUAAUUCUGUUUGCUCUGAUCACUGGCACUGUGUUGGUUUAUGCUCCUGGGGUGCAUCACCAGUUCAGGCACCCGGACCUUCUGUUUCCCUUAGCCCUCCAGCCUCUAAACAACCUUCCCACUCCAGACCCCAGUGACAUACAGGCAGGUGUCUGAAAUGGCCACUGAGUUGGUCUGGGGAUUAACAUCCACUUUGAAGGUGUCAGGCCUGAUAGGAAACUAUUCCAGGGAGAGGAGGGAGCCUGGGGCAGGGGAACAACAGCUCUCCCGUCAUAAACAGACUCCUCAGCCUUCGCAGCUUUGGUUUCCCAGGAGCCCAGCGGGCAGGAGUUUGGAUUCGAGAUGUAAAGAUAACAGAGUUGACAGCUUGGAGGUCAUGGUGUCCUGAUUGCUCUCCUCCGUGUGAGUUGCUGUUGCUGGUUGGAGGCUGGUAUUUUCCUCUCUGUGUUGUGUAGCACUCAGCCCUUUCCUGGGAAGAGAGAGCACAUUUUUUGCUCCCCUUAAUCACCACCACUUUGGCAUCAGUACAGAACACUUCAUAUAAGGGACCACAGUGCCUGAAGAAUCUUGGAAAUUUGUUGGGGGCGGGGGCUUGUGGGGACAGGGAGUGGCUGUAAGUGAGAACACACACUGUAAAGAUUGGAGCCCGGGAGAGUCUAGGGGCCCCUCUCCAGCCCCCAGGGACAGAGAGCAGGAAACAGAAAGCUCCCACAGCCCCAGAAUGAACGAAGAAUUCCUAACUAAAAGUGACCCAAAAUAAUGCGGUGUUCUACUAACAGCUGAAGGUGUAGAAGAGAACUUGUGAGAUUUUUAAGUCAUAACUGUAUGUUAGGAUACCCUGGAAGUUCAUUUUCUCAAUGCAAAGUUGUUUGUUUCUGAUUCAAAAGUACAUUAACGGUUGUUUAAUGGCUAUAGACUUUCAGUUUGGGAAGAUGGAAGAAGUUCUGGAGGUGGAAGGUGGUGAAUGUUGGACAGUUUGAUUAUAUUUCAUACGACAGAACUGUACACUUAAAACGGAGUGAAGUAGUAAAUUUCAUGUUACGUAUAUUUUGCCACAUCAAAAUCCAUUUUUCUGUAUUCAAAAUCUUUUAAUAACCUUUAAUGAAAAAGAAUAUGAAAACAAAUAUGUGUAUAUAUAUGCAUCACUGCGACAUUAUGCUGUACACCAGAAACUGGCACAUUGUAACUAACUAUACUUCAAUUAAAAAAAUUUUAAGUGCUUUUAUUACUAGACACCUACAAACCUUUUCAUUCAUUGAAUACAAAUUUAUCUCCUUGUUUUUAUCCAUUUUAUCUCUGCGGCUUAGGCAAGCUCUGGUUCUGAUGACUAGAUUCUACUCUAACUAGUUAUGUGACCUUGAACAGGUCAUUUCACCUUUCCGGUCUUCAGCUGCCUCACAUGUAUAACAGGAGAAGUUUGAAAAGAAUUGUCUGCUUACAGCCCUGAUGGUCAAGGAUUAGCAUUUAUUGAAAGUGUGCCAUGUACCAGGCUUUCUGCUACACAUUUUAUCCGCAUGACCUCAUUUAAUCCUCACAAAGAUCCCAUGAGGCUGGUAUAAUUAUCCUCAUCUGACAGAGAGGAAUCAGAGGCUUAGAAGUUACAGUGACUUGUCCACUUUCAGCAAGCAAGUGGGAGGAGAGGGAUUGGGGCUUAGGUCCAUGGGACCCCUGAGCCCAGGCUCUCAGCUGCUGUUCAGUCCUGCAGCAGGACAGACGUCAGAGCCAACCCACCAUGAAUCUCUCUCCCUGGAAAAACCAUUAGCCAGAAAAUAAGACCUACAUCCAGCCAGGAGCUGGUUUUGCUGUGCUUUCUUAUUCCUCUCGCGAAAAUGCUGCCGUCUCCUGGGGGAUGGAGGGCUGAGAGCACAGGCAGGAAGCGGGACAGGCAAGCUGGCCAGCCUGCUGGCUCCUGCAAAGUCAGGUCUUCACAGUAAGUUUCAUUAUUUUGCCCUAAACCAAUUGAAAGCUCCCCAAAUUAGAUACACCCUUAUUCCAGCAUUACUUUUAGAUUAUGCUUCCUCCUGUUCUCCACAACUAAUCCAAUCAAGAGUUGGUUGCCUGAGAAUCCGGGCUCUGAAGCAGACACCAGCUAACUCCCAGCUAAGCAAUGAAGAUUCACUGGCCUUCAAAUAUUCUCUACGUCUGUUUUAACAAGGACCUACUGUAGAGCAUAGGGAACUAUGUUCAGUUUCUUGUAAUAAACUAUAAUGGAAAAGAAUCUGAAAAUAUAUAUAUGUAUAACUGAAUCGCUUUUGCUGUACACCUGAAACUAAUAUAAAUCAACUACACUUCAAUAAAAAAAUAAAAAUUUUUUAAUGUAAAAAAAUAAGUGCUUAAGACUAUUUUAAAAAACCAAAUAUUCUUUAAGUCUGUUUUAACCAUGAUUUGUUUUGUCCCCCUCAACCACAGCAUUAAUUAGGGCUCUUGGCGAGAAGCACUUCGGGCAUGUCCGUGUGUUGCCAGUGACCCUCAGCCAGAGAAACAGGAAAACAAAGCAAGAAAAGGCAGCAACAGUACAAAUGAGCAUUGGCUGCUUGCGGGAUAUUGCAAAACCAUGGAGUAUUUGCAUGCAUUUGUUGACUAAAAUCAUUGAAAAUCAACCUAGGAAUUAGAUAACAACAACAACAACAAAUCAUUGGAACAUCCGUGCAGUGACGCUGUGUAGACAUUAAGAGUGAGUCAGAUCUCUAACAGGGAAAAGCACUGUCUAAAUCAACGGACAUACGAAGCUUAGGAAGUUGAAGCCAAGUUGAGCAAUCAUCCUUGCAGACAUGGGGACAGAUCUGAAAACAGUAAGAAGAUCCUUAAACAGGAAGCAACCAAAGCCACAACAAACAACCCAGAGAAAGAAUCACAUAGGACACCAUAGAGGAGCAACUCAGGUGCUAAUAACAGGCAUCUCAACCCAACCAUGACUUGCUCCUCAGCACCCCAGUGACUAAGGCUGCUCUCCAGCACUCAGUGAGGGGGAGCUCCACUGACCAGUGUUUGUAUUCUGGUAUAUUUAUUUGCUCUUAAGAUACUAAACACACACACAUACACACACACACCCCCCCCUCAUUUCUUGGGAUUCAAAUAUUCUCUUUUUUUUCCUAUAAAGUCCAUAAUUUAAAACGCCGUUGGUGAUACUUUUAUGUAGAGAUUUUAGCAUUAGAUACUAACUACCAAUAACCAAAAUCUGUUACCUGGUGUGAGUAAAACCCAGUAAGUAGCACUAUAUGAGUUAGUUAUGGCCACAUAACAAAUUAACCCAAACCUUAGUGACUUAAAGCAAGUUAUUAUUUAUUGUUUCUCAUAGUUUCUGUAGGCCAGGCAUGUGGGUCACAGAGGGAAUACAGUUUUGUCUCUGCUCCACAAGGACUGGGGCCUCAGCUGGAAGGCUUGCAGUGUGAAAGCUGGAAUCAUCUGAGGGCUCGUUGACUCUCACGUGUGAAAAUUGAUGCUGGCUGUCAGCUGAGGGCUUGACUGGGACAUUGGUUAGAACUUCCACACAUGGCUUCUCCAUGCAGCCUGGGCCUCCUCACAGUGUGGCAGCUGGGAUCCAAGGGCAAGCAUCCCCAAAGAGAGAACCAGGAGAAGCUGUGUCCUUACUAUGAUCUAAUCUGGAAAUCACACAGGUUUGCUUCCACCAUACUCCAUUGAUCAAGGUGGUCACAAGCCCCCACCCAGACCGAAGUGGAAAGAACAUAGACUCACAUCUCAAUGGGAUGGACAUCAGCCACACAGGAAGAAGAGCAUUUAGAGAGGGAUAUGUGUGUAGGUGUGGCCAUCUUUGGAAAAAUACAACCUACCCUUACAGAAUUCUGCUUUAAAGCUGAUUUCUGUAGGAAAAUGCUCCAUGGUGCAAACAUUUCAUGUACAAGAAAGUCUUAGGUGGAUCCUAACAGACAAAGUUGGAACAUUCGGUGUCUGGUGACAUGGUAGGAGAUAGGGUUAGGAAGGUACAUUAGAGCCAGAUGACAGAGAGUCCUAAAGGACACAUUGAAAGUGUGCUCUUUAUUCCAGGGACACUGAGGGACCACGGGAGUAUCUGCAGCAAAGAUUGCCCUCAUGGCCCUGGAGAGGAUGGAUUAGAGAAAGGGAGACCAAUUGGGAGCUCACUAAAGUGGUCCAGGGCUGAGAAAACAAAGCUGGAAGUGGCACAGUUUACUUCGGCAGCCUGUCAGAGACGUCACACUGCUGGGACAGGGAUUUCAGUAAAGGCCAAGCCUAAAGCAGUGAGGAGGGAAGGGGCGUUCUUGGUCCCUUUGGAAGUGACUGACCUUCACAGCAUGCUGACCAUCAGACUAGUGCUGGGGUACACGAGAUGCAAAUCAGUCCCUGAAGCGCGAUGAAAGCUCAUCUUGAUGCUGCCCUGAGGAUGCACUAGGAGAGCAGACGAGGCAGGAAGACUGGGUUUAUGACAGACCAGUCAAGAAGUGACAAGGUGGUGACCCAGGAGAGUGGGAACGGAUAAAAAUUCUGCAAGUCCAAAAAAGAGUUGGCCCUAAAUCCAAUGAUAGCUGUCCUCCUAGGAGACAGAAGGGGAGAAGACAGAGAGAUACACACAGAGGACAAGGCCACGUGAAGAAGGAAGCAGAGAUGGAAGUUGUGCUGCCACAGCCACAGAGUGCUGAGAUCCACCAGCAGGAGGGAUCUUUGGAGGGAGCAUGGCCCCACCAACAACUCGCUUUCAGGCUUCUUCUGGUCUCUAGAACCAUGAGAGAAUAAAUUCCUGUUGUUUUAAACCACCAAGUGUAUCAUUUGUUGCAGGGGCCACAGGAAAAUAAUACAGCACCUACCAAGAGGCACGUCCAGAAAUCACUUUUCGUUUUUUCUUGUCGUAAAGGAGAGGUGUUGAGACAGGAGGGAAGGGGGCAGGGCACAAUCACGGAAGGAAUGACCCAGCCGUUGAGAACAGGGCAAACUGUUCAGGACAAGAUGGCAGACGAUCCGAUUUCCAGGGGACCUGAGCCUCAUGGCACAGCCGCAGGUGCCAUGACAGUUCCUAGGCUGACCAUAAAAGGGCAAAAAAGGGUGGGGCUCACACUCUGUCUGUGGAGUGUGUAACCACUUUUACUUUAAACUAAACCCCCGACAC